GCUCGGGAGGCCGAUCGGAACCGGACUCCAGCCCGGCCGGCGGCGCGUCCGGGGAGUCCCGGGUGAAGGAGGACUGCGCCGGGCACAGUGAGCAGCUCUGGUGGUCCCCACGCUCAUCCUGGAGCAGCCCCGGGAGAGCGUGGAUGCGAAGGUGCCGGACGUCCAGCCCUGGUCCCCGCAGCAGGUUCGGCGAGCUGGGCACCGCUGCCGUGGGCAGGACUUGUUAUUGAACAAAUGGAUAAAGCCAUUCAUCGACCAGAACUGACAAGGUUCCUCGUCCAGGCACUGUGCCUGGUUCCGAGUGCAGGCGUGAGCCAACUUGGACCCUGUCCACGGAACCCAUGGUCCAAGGCAGCCAGGUGCACAGUGGCUCCCCAGGAGGUCCUCCGGCUCCUUCCGAUUCUGGAGCCCCCAUGCGAUGAGCCAGACCCCUAGGUCUGGAGCCUAGAGCCCGCUCAGUCGAGGGGGAGGAGGCCACAUCCAAAGCCCCCGGAUGCACCUGUUCCAGAAAACAGAGCCUGAGGGAGCUGUGACCUCAAGAGGCGGUUUUGCUGGGCUGCCGGGGAAAUGCCACUUGAAGAACCAGUAUGGAAGGAGAUGGUCUGGGAAGGGAGGAGAACCUCCACUCACAAAGGGAGAUUUCCGGGGGCUGCCCUGAAGUGGGAGGGACUCAGAACUGGGAGGAAGAGACCCUCCUGCCCUCAAAUCCCGGUCAGAACGGAGAGGACCAACACUGGAGACCGUCUCCUCUCCUGGUCCAGGGGAGGUGAAUUAUAAAGAUUAACAGUGGUGUAAUACCUAUGUAUUUUAAAAAUAUGAUCUACAUAAAGAUGUGUAGUACACAACUCAGAAAUCAUGCACAGUACUCUUUACCAUCAAUCCCAUACAAUCAUCCUCAGAGAAGGCUCUUGUGGAUUUUUGCUGAAAUCCUGUAUGCACAGCCAGCCUCUGGCUGCGAUUCACAAGUGUGGUUCUGACGUGAAUGUGGGCUAAUAUUUUCAGGUAUUUAAUAAGCAAGAUGAGAGCGACGCCAGAAAGACCUGUGCAGGGGCGUCGCUUGCCCAGCCGUGACAUGAGCGAGCUCCUUGCUGGACUGGACGGACGGUGGUCCUGAGUCCUGAAAGUCCUGAAAAUUCCCUCCCUGUGUUUGUGCUGGUCACGUGGCGAUGACUGCAGAGCGCACUCCAAGCCAACGUGCACCGUCAUCCGUGUCACUGUUCCACGUGCCAGGCUCCGCGGUGUCCAGACUCCCGCCGGGGCCGAAAGUGACAGGACUGGACCAGCAGGUGGGGAGAGACAAGCGGUCCAGGGAUAAAGAGCCUCAGGGGCUCUGAUAAGCGUAAAAUGUGAAAGGUCAUUAAGUGAUGAAUUUCCAGGAUUGACUGCCUCUGUUUUUACUAUAAGGUCCCGCAAACUUCCCGAAGGGUAACACUCGCAGGUAGAACAGCUCCAGCCCGCCCUGCGCCGGAGACCGGAGCUCAGGCCCUCGGGGUGUCAGUGUCUGGGUGUCGGCGGGGCGGCCUGGCAAGCACGGGAGGCGCCCCAUGGCUGAGAGGCUAGUGAGGGGAACCCCAACACACACAGUCCACCUCACCCCAGGGACCACCUUGCUCUUUACAAGCUGUGUGACCUUCGUCAUUCCACUGCCAAGGGACCCAGUUUUAGCCACACACGGUUGUCCGGGCAGGUGUAAAGAUGGGGACACACAGAAAUGGUUUUGCAGAAGAGGAGCCAGGCUUGGUGCGGAAGCCCCGGGCGGCACGGAGGCCACAGGGGCCACGGUAGCUGGGGGCACCAGGGAGGGGCGCACACAGUGCCUCAGGCUGCCACAGCCAAGUCCACGGCCGAGGCUCUGAUUUCACAACUAUCCGAACGAGCAGCGCGCUUAAAAUCUGUGGUUUAGGAGAUUUUCAUUGAACGUUCUAUUUUUAAAUGCAUCCCAGUGUUUGUACUGAAACCACCCCAGAGACACUUUGCUUCAGAGCCAUAAUCCCUGGAAAGGGAAACCCACCUGAGAAGGCGGCUCUGCUCGGCUCCCUGGGCGCAUCCCUGGGCCGGGAGCAGAGUGAGACCAGCUCUGAGGUGCGUCCAGCCACACGGGAGCCCCACCCUCUUGUGCCUUUGUGGGCCCUUCCUCCACAAAAAUCAUUAAAAAAUUAUACAACUGUGUUGAUGUAAAGAUGAAUAUAUUAAUAGCAUAUAUUAAACUAUCU